CCUGCCUGUAAGACUGGGAUAACUCCGGGAAACCGGAGCUAAUACCGGAUAGUUCCUUGAACCGCAUGGUUCAAGGAUGAAAGACGGUUUCGGCUGUCACUUACAGAUGGACCCGCGGCGCAUUAGCUAGUUGGUGGGGUAAUGGCUCACCAAGGCGACGAUGCGUAGCCGACCUGAGAGGGUGAUCGGCCACACUGGGACUGAGACACGGCCCAGACUCCUACGGGAGGCAGCAGUAGGGAAUCUUCCGCAAUGGACGAAAGUCUGACGGAGCAACGCCGCGUGAGUGAUGAAGGUUUUCGGAUCGUAAAGCUCUGUUGUUAGGGAAGAACAAGUGCGAGAGUAACUGCUCGCACCUUGACGGUACCUAACCAGAAA
rnacentral:rRNA from 1 species